AUGUACCACCAGGAAACAGCAGCCACCAAUGACUGUGAAGAAUGCACUCUGCCAGCUGCAGGCCAGGCGCUCCAAGGUGGGACACGGCCAAAUUUCAGCUGCCCAGGUAACCUCAGCUCAACCCACACUGUACGUGGCACAUCCUUAGUGCCCAGGGAGGAAACCAGGCUUUGGGACACAGCUGCAGCCUGUCUGAGGGACAUGCAGGCUGGCUCAGGUCCCGCCAAAAGCCACCUCAGCAGCACCGUGCCCGGGACGAGCAGCACAAACACCUCUCAAACACCUCUCCUGCAGCCGGGAGGGCUGGAGCUCCUCGUGGGCCGUGACUCAGCCCUUCUGCACCUCCCUCGGGGCGAAGCCGCCCUUCCUCACCCCGAGCUGUGGCGUGGGGUGAGGCUGUCCCCGUUGGCCGGAGUCCUGCUGUGUGCACAUUUCCAGCGUGGCGUGCUUGUGACCGUUCACCCACGAACCUCGGGGCUCUCGUCAUGCUGUGCGGGUGGGACAGCGGGGUGUCCACAGUGUGAUGUGGUGCUUUUUGUCACUGGGGCUCUGCUUUGUGUCACGGGGGUUGUGUUAAAACCGGGAUAAAUCCUGUGAGCACACCGCUGGCGUGCACCUGAGCAUGUUCUGCCCCAAGGCUGACCACCCUCUACUUAUUACAAUGAAUAAAUUAAUAGUAAUAACGAACAAUAACGGCUUGGCGCGUCUCGGGCACCCCUGUGCCGAAGCACGCCCCGAGCUGCCUCCUGUGAGGCUCCCUCCCUCCCGCC
rnacentral:lncRNA from 1 species